GGUUUGCAGCUUUUCUCCAAUCAAAUGGCUCCGCGGGCCCCUCACACGUGGGACCGCCCCUUUGCCUGGGCGGCCUUGGCCUCUAAGGGAAAACGUCCAAUGAAUGUAAGCAGAGAACACAUCCAUCCUUUUAGAGAGGUCGCGGCGGAACUACUUCCGGAUCCUAGAGAGCGUUUAUUCCGUGACCGGGGAAACGGUAGCCAUGGCAACGUGUUCUUCACCCUUUCCCAUCUAUGCCUGGGGUUUCGUUGGAAGUGAUUCCAGCACGACUUUCGCGGCCAGCUUUCUCGUGUGGCGGCGCUUCUCGGAAAGAAGAAACACACGAGAGAGCUCAACUUCUUGACCUUUUCCUCCAAUUCUGAAUAAGUAAGCAACCAGUUCUGAAACUGCAAAUGCCACCUUAACUAGUGAGUGGUGGGGAGUUGGUGCUGCACCUGGAGGGAACUGAGACAGAGACAUAUCCUUCAAAAUAGAGCCACUGCUUGUGGGUAGACGUUUCUGCAGAUGAUGGUGGGAAUUCAUGAGGCAGGCAGAGCACAAGAUGUAUCUGUAGGUCAGGAAUCCAGAAGCACCUAACUGGGUAGUUCUGGCUCGGGUCUCUCAUGAGCUUGCAGUCAAGAUGUUGGCUGAGGCUGAAAUCAUCUGGAGGCUCAAGAGGAGCUGGAGGAUCUGCUUCCACGAUGGCUCCUUCACAUGGCUGUUGGCUGGGGCCUCAGUUCAUCAUCACAUGGACCUCUCCAUAGGGCUGCUUAAGUGUGCUCACAGCAUGGCAGCUGGCCUCCCCUGGAGUAAGGUCAGUAUUCCAGAUUUACAGCUGCAGAAACUGUGUCAGAGUCAGACCCUGAGGCAAGGUUUAUAUGACUCCGAAGUCCAUGCUCAACCUCUGGGAGUGUACCCAACAAAGUAGGAGGUGCCACUGUGAUGCCAGUUGCUGCUAUCAGUCCUAACUUAAACUGGAUUGUUUUUCAACUCUGAUCUGUCCCCUGGUUGGCAUCUCUCACCUUCCAAUACCGAUAAGAAACAAUUUUCAAGGAAGAUUUCCACCUGUUCAUAGCAAACAUAACUGGGAGGAAGAUUAGAAACAGUGGGGGUCGGUGGCUGUGCUAGGAUGAAAAUUGUGAUAUUUUAUGCAUAGUGUUGUCCCCAAGGAAAGAGAAAUGAGCCAGAAGACAAAUGAGAAUGUAGAAAGGUAUACCCAAUUCCUUCAAAAGCCCCAGAAACCCAUUCAGCCUUACAUCUGCUCUAUUCUGAAUGAUUUUCAAGAAGAGAGAGACAUUUUGGCAAACAACAUCUUCCCUCAGCUUAAUGAACUCUGCAAUUCCCGGGGCACAUAUUUCAAAGCCGUGGACCUGAGUUGGUCAGCAUUAAAGGCCCUGAAAUCCUUACCCACCCACCUGUUUAGACAGUAUUCUUGUCUUCACUCCCAACGUCUGAAGCUCUGCCUUGACUAUGUGAACAGCUGCUUUCCCUUUUUCAUCUGCAUGCUGGGUCAGACGUAUGGAGACUUCCUCCCUGACUACUCACAUUUCAUGACCUCCAAAGUGACUCGCUUGUCAAGCUUAUCCAAAGUAGAACAGAAUCUCUAUGUUGCUGCCAAAAACGGUUAUCCUUGGGUUCUGGAGAACCCCAACUGCAGUCUGACGGAGUUUGAGCUAAUCCAAGCAGCAUUUCUGAAUGAAUCUCAAUUUCAGUAUUUUUACUUUAGGACUGGAACCACACUGCUGAAGGCUUUAGAUGAUGAGGAAAGGGGAGAGAGGCUACCCUGAAGUUCUUCAACAAACGAAGAGGAAACAUUGAGGAUUGGAAAGCUUAAGGCCAAGAUUAUUAGUAAAGGGCUCCCUGUGAGAUUUUAUAGUGAUCUCCACGAGUUGGGUGAGCUGGUUUUCAAGGACUGGUCAGUUGUGAUAGAAAAACUUCAUCCAGCCACUUUAAUGAUUGAAAAUAUAGGUUAGUAAAUAUAGAGAUAACUAAGUCCAUUAUCAACAUAAAGGUAAUGUUUUUAUAGGUCUUCCUUGUGAAAGGAAUUUUUAAAUGAUUGCAAAUAUUCCUUAAGCAUUUAAAAAUUAUUAUUGUGUUCUUGUGACAUGUAUUUUUCCACUUUGAAGAUUUUUGCAACUGAAAAUAAGAGCAAGUAAUGAGUCAGUCAUGGAAGAUUGUUUAGGGGGUUAAGGAGCUCAGAGAAGACCCAAAAUAUCUGGCCGUUAAGUGAGUCUAGAGCAGUGGUUCUCAACCAGGGCCGAUUUUGCUCCUUCAAGGGACAUUUGGCCAAGUCUGAAAACAUUUAUGAUUGUCACGAUUUGGGGAGAGCUACUGGCAUCAGCGAUACUGACAAGCAUCCUACAGUGCACAGGACAACCCCCAUAAUAAAUAAUUACCCAAAAUUCAGAAAUACUGAGCCAAGAGGAAGAGAAUCAACUUUUAUUAAUUUUCUGGUGCUUUGGUUAUGCUAUUACAUUUAAUCUUCAAGGUUUAACCCUGCUAGGUAGGUAUUAUAAUUCCGAUUCUGUAAAUGAGCAAAUGAAAGCUGCUGUGUAGCAGUGAAAUGACUUACCAAUGUCACAUAACUAGUGAGGGACCAAUCCAGGAUUUGAACUCAGGUCUCUCUGACUCUAAAAUCUAUGCCUGCUCCUUUUCACCUUUUUUUUUAAAGUAUGAUUCAUGGAUUGGCAGCCUGAGCAUCACCUAGUAGCUUGUUAGAAAGGUAGAAUCUUGAGCUCCAUUCCAGGUCAACUGAAUUAAAAUUUGCAGUUUAACAAGAUGACUAGGAGCUUUACAUGUAUGUUAAAGUUUGAGAAGCAUUGCCUGACAUCAUAUUGCCUCUAAAUGAAAUGAUUACCAUUAUUUUUGGAAAUAAUGUCCUGUGGACAUGUACCAGAUUAAAAAGGGAAGAGUCUGUCGCCUAGACAGACUUCAGGAGGGAUCUGUGAUGAUAAUAUGAAAAAUAGACUAUAUGAAAAUUAUGUAAAACUGUAUGAAAAAUAUAAUGUUUAUAUGCCUA
rnacentral:sRNA from 1 species